GCCAGGCCCGUAUAACGUUAAUGAUUACUAGAUGGUGUUUCCAAAGAGUCGUGUUGCUUGAUAGUGCAGCACUAAGUGGGUGGUAAACUCCAUCUAAAACUAAAUAUAACCAUGAGACCGAUAGUAAACAAGUACCGUGAGGGAAAGUUGAAAAGAACUCUGAAUAGAGAGUUAAAUAGUACGUGAAACUGCUUAGAGGUUAAGCCCGAUGAACCUGAAUAUCCGUUAUGGAAAAUUCAUCAUUAGAAUUGUAAUAUAUAAUCUAUAUUAUAAUAAUAGUGUGCAUUUUUUCCAUAUAAGGACAUUGUAAUCUAUUAGUAUCAAUAAAUUUAUCAAAAAAUUGUAGAUAAUUGCUUAUUUGAAUUAGAAUGCUUGCAUUUUAACAUAAAAUAAAUGUCAUAAAUUUGAUAAAGUGCUGAUAGAUUUAUAUGAGUACAGUGCGUUAAUUUCUCGGAAUUAUAUAAUGGCAUAAUUAUCAUUGAUUUUUGUGUUUAUUAUAAGCAUUUGUAUGAUUAACAAUGCGAAAGAUUCAGGAUACCU
rnacentral:rRNA from 1 species